AUGCCAUCGAGAAAUCAUCUGGACAAAAUUGGACGGAAGAAGAAGAAGAAAUGGAGCGAGGAGGCCAUGGAGCGAGCACUGAUGGAGGUGAAAUCAGGAAGGUGCACGGUCAGACAGGCUGCCAGAGAGUUUAGCGUCCCUAAAUCUUCCCUAGGAGACAGAGUCAGUGGUCGGGUGACACCAGGGAGUCGCAGCGGGCCGGCUCAGCUCAUAACGUCUGCUGAUGAGAAGUUUCUGGUAGAAUUCUCUUUAUACAUGUCCAAGCAUGGUUUCCCGCUCACCAAGCAGCAGCUGAUGUCAUUUGCAUCAUCGAUUUAUAAGCGACAGCAUCGCAGGGUGGCCUUUUCCAAACUGGGCCAGACCUGGUGGCUCAAUUUCAGGAAACGACAAGAAAAGAAUAUUAGGAUUCAGCCGGCGGACAAUGUUGUUCGUGGGAGGACGGUGUGUGUGAGGAAGGAGGCGGUGGAUCAGUUUUUCCACCUGCUGAGCAACAUCGUGGACGCGCGCGGCCUCAGAAACAAGCCUCACCAAAUUUUCAACUGCAGUGAGACAGGAUUUCAGCUGGGCAGGAAGAGACUGAUUCUUUCCAAACCUGCCAGUCUGGGCUACAAGCCAGCACCAGGCUCUCGGGACCACAUCUCCGUCCUGGCUUGCUUUAGCGCAGCCGGAGAGGACAUUCCCCCCUUUAUUAUCUAUUCAAAGGCCUAUCCAGGAGGUGUUUGUUACAAGACACAAGGACCGCCAAAUGCAUUCUACGGGUGGUCAGACUCAGGGUUUAUCAACUCGGACCUUUUUAAGAAAUGGUUCCUCAAACAUUUUAUCCCUCGUGCACCCAAAGAGCGCCCCCUGCUGCUCAUCUUUGAUGGGCACAAGUCGCCUGUAAACCUGGAGGUGGUGGAAUCGGCGCGUAAGGAAGAUAUCAUUCUCUUAUGCUUUCCUCCUCAUUGUUCCCACAUCUUACAGCCACUUGAUGCCGGACUUUUUUUGGUUCUUAAGCAGCGCUUGGCUUCAAUGUUAGGCGACACCUGGACCUCUGACACACACUUUGCAGUCAGCAAAAAGGAGUUCUCAUGUGUAUUUAAAGGGACAUACCAGGUGGUAAGAGAGGAGGAGGGUGUUCGAAUUGUUCAGGAUGGUUUUAGGAAAUGUGGCCUUUACCCAUUAGACCACUUCACCAUCAGUGAGGGUCAUUUAAUGCCACAGAACAGCAUCAUCAGCGCAUCAGCUGGAUCCUCCCUGUGCACAUCUGUGCAUGAGACUCACUCUGUUGGAGACCUUACAGCUGCUGUAUCCACUUCUUGA
rnacentral:lncRNA from 1 species